CUUAUGUCAACACAAGAACAAGAACAGGAACAACUAGCCUUCAACUGCCCAACUUUUUGUUACGGAGAAAACGACCACAAAAUGCCUCACUGUGCGGCUUUUGGUUGUCACUUCCAGUCUAAAGGCAACAAGGGAACUGAUGCCGGACGCUUUCGAGUAUUCUCAUCGUCCACGGCUCUUUAAAGAGCUCAUUGGUGCUCCGCGAUAUAAACGACGGCUAAAGCCAGACGCAGUGCCAACUAUUUUUACUCACAGGGAGAUUAAACAACCACAACCGGCGAGUGUCAACCAUGAGAGCAAACGUCAAAGACAGGAGACGAUGGACGAAUGUGCACAAGCAUUCGAGGUGGACGUGGACAUUGACGAUGAGGAACACCCACUGGACACAGAGGAGGAAACAGACAGUGCACCUGUAGAGACUACAAAAUCUAUAAAAAUGUACUGUCCGUUUUGCGGACAUAAACUUCGAUGUGCAUCCACUUUCUGUGGUUUGUGUGGCAAAAAUAUCAAAUUCUUAUAUGAAGUUGUGAAGCGUGGCACAAGUGAAGGGAGUGCAGGAAAACGUGUGCUUCCCACAUUCCAAGAACCCCAGGCAUCAAAAAAGGAGAAAAAAAUAAUAUCUUUAAAGAAGAAGAAAGAACUUCUGAAAAUAAAGCUUGUGAAGAUUUGUGUAGGCAUGAUGAUUACAAAAGAUGGAGAGCUGAAACCUGUGAGAGGAAUGGUGCUACCACUUGCAGUGCACCCAAGGGUGGGUGCUGAGGAACUGUGUAAAGCUGCUGAACUAAAAAUGAGGGACUUUGACAAAAAUUUACAAGGUGGUCCCUACUUUCUUCUUUACCCUGAUGGCACAAAGAUAGUUAACCUUCCUGGGACAGACAGACCCUUCACUCUCCAAGCCUACAAGGAUGCACUCGGGAAAGCAUACCAGAGGAUCACAGUAUAUAUUUGUACAGCUGAAGAUUUCUAUUCUCAGGACAUCAGCACAGACUCAUCAGACUCAUCAGAUUCAGAGAUGAUCAUAGGAAGCAAAAAUGCUGUUGAAUUGUGUUCGGCUGAUACUGUAGCUGCACUUUCUGACACAGCAGAUGCCCCAGGAACAUCAAGAGGUACAAUGGACACUGCAUGCUGCAGAUGUCCAAACAAUGGACAUCAGUCCACACCCACUUCCAUCUCUCCAAGAUGGCCUGUGAACCCAUUCGGGUUUUAUAAAGAUCUCCAGCUCCUGCCUACGGAUAAAGAAAAUGUUGAAACUAUAAAGAAAGAGGAGAGCCCUAGUCCACGCCAGGGGGACCUAAAGCCCCCCCACAUUAUAAACGAAGAGGAGAGCUCCAGUCCACACCAGGGGGACCUAAAGCCCCCCAACAUUAUAAAGGAAGAGGAGAGCUCCAGUCCACACCAGGAGGACCUAAAGCCCCCCCACAUUAUAAACGAAGAGGAGAGCUCCAGUCCACACCAGGAGGACCUAAAGCCCCCCCACAUUAUAAACGAAGAGGAGAGCUCCAGUCCACACCAGGAGGACCUAAAGCCCCCCCAUAAUAUAAAGGAAGAGGAGAGCUCCAGUCCACACCAGGAGGAUGUAAAGCCCCCCCACAUUAUGAAGAAAGAGGAGAUGGAGUUAACCAUCCCACGGCUCGAUCCAGAAUUAGAUUUACCCCCCCUCACUGAUAUUAAGACGGAAGAUUCUUCUGACACAGAUGACAGUGAAGAUUGGAAAUAAAGCCGGCCCAAUGAAAAGGUCAUGUGAACGCAGAAGCAGAUGGAGCAGAAGGAUCAGAACCGCCAUGAGUCAUUCACAGAGGAUACAUGAAAGGAAUGACAGAAGGACUCGAACCAUCAGCCCUGUUAUAGCAUUUUGUUUUGGUUAGUUUUAUAAAACUACCUGUGAUCCUACAGAUGUGACAUUCUUUACAUAAAUCACUUAUCAUCUCUGGAGAUAAAUAAA
ensembl:lncRNA